CCUGCCCUCCCAGUUGAGAGGGGGGCAGACUUUCCUUUUGCAAGCCGCCCAGCAGGGCAGGGGCGGUGGGGUCUGUGGAAGUGCGUGGGUAACAUAUGGUCGUGCUUAGAACCCGUCAUCAACACUGAGGACUGAGUGGGGUGAAAAUGGGGGUGCUGCCCUAACUUUUAAGAUAAGAAGGAUGCUUCCUUUACUCCACACUCCAGCCUGGGGCCAAGGUUUCCCAGCAGAUGAGACAAAACAAAAUCCUGCUCUCUUGGACCUGGCAUUUUAAUGGAGAGGAACAGAGCAGAUCUGGUUCCUGAGCCCGAGAGCUGCGCGUCUGAGUGCCUAAUGAACAUAUCUAAACCUGAUCUUCCACAUCCUGCCGCUCCGUCAGAAAACAUCUUCCUCGCUUGCACCCACACGACACCCCACAUCCAAUCAGUCACCAAGCUCUGCCGACCUUGCCUCCUGGGCAGAAUGCAAUUCCCGACAUUGGUUGUACGCCCCCUGCUCCGCCUCGGUCCUGGCCGUCAUUUCUCGACUUGGCUUCUUCCAACCCUUCACUGCCUUCCGAUCCAUUGUGCACGCUGCAGCCAGAGCAACAUUUCAAACAAACAAAUCUGAUCAUCUCAUUAAUCCGUCUAAAGUCCGUCAGUGGCUUCCCAUGGCCUAGGAAAAAGUUCAACUUCUUUAAUGUGGUGUGGCUGGCAAAGUCCCUCUCUUUUUCUCUCUCUCUCACGGAUGUGUGUGUGCCUGCUUGCGUGACUGUGCACACACCUGAGCCUACACAUUUGCUGCUUUCUCUUUCCAGAACGUUCCCCCCAUCACCUUGCUCUCUUCUACUGGGGUCCUCCGGUUCCUCCUGUGAGUUCAGCUGCUUGUGUUGCCGGCAGGUUAUGGGCCUCACACUUGGCUGUGAGCAUCUGCUUGUUUUGGUGUUCCCUCGACUGUGCCUGACGCAGGGGAAUUACAGAAUGCCGGCCGGGGGUCCCACCCCUUGGUUCAAAUCCUGCUUCUGCCACUUCCUUGGACCGUUACCUAACUUCUCUUAAGCUGUGUGGGCAUCUGUAGAAUGGGGAUCAUGGUGAACUUAACCUCCUAGAUUGUUAUAAGACAUGUGACAUGCCCAGAAGUGCAUCUCUGUUCCUGCUGUGACUUGCAUGGUGACUCUCACUCUUCUGGUCUCGGCUUAAUGAGGCUCUCAGGUCGUCCUUGAGAUGCCCUCUGUUUUCAUGGCUCCCACAGGUGCCCUGCACACAUGCACCCCCUCUCUGGGAGUCAUUCGUAGAUUAUUGCUAGUGUGUGGUAACAGUAAUUGUCUGCUGGUGUGUGAGUGCCUGGGGGUGGAGGGGAAGACCAAUCUCUUGUUUCCUACGAAUUCCUGGUGUUCGAUACAGAACAUGGGACCGUGUAGUUUGGUACACGUGGAGGUCAAUAAAAAAGGAGAAGCUGUGGAAUGCA